rnacentral:rRNA from 1 species
UUAAGCGACUAAGCGUACACGGUGGAUGCCCUGGCAGUCAGAGGCGAUGAAGGACGUGCUAAUCUGCGAUAAGCGUCGGUAAGGUGAUAUGAACCGUUAUAACCGGCGAUUUCCGAAUGGGGAAACCCAGUGUGUUUCGACACACUAUCAUUAACUGAAUCCAUAGGUUAAUGAGGCGAACCGGGGGAACUGAAACAUCUAAGUACCCCGAGGAAAAGAAAUCAACCGAGAUUCCCCCAGUAGCGGCGAGCGAACGGGGAGCAGCCCAGAGCCUGAAUCAGUGUGUGUGUUAGUGGAAGCGUCUGGAAAGGCGCGCGAUACAGGGUGACAGCCCCGUACACAAAAAUGCACAUGCUGUGAGCUCGAUGAGUAGGGCGGGACACGUGGUAUCCUGUCUGAAUAUGGGGGGACCAUCCUCCAAGGCUAAAUACUCCUGACUGACCGAUAGUGAACCAGUACCGUGAGGGAAAGGCGAAAAGAACCCCGGCGAGGGGAGUGAAAAAGAACCUGAAACCGUGUACGUACAAGCAGUGGGAGCACGCUUAGGCGUGUGACUGCGUACCUUUUGUAUAAUGGGUCAGCGACUUAUAUUCUGUAGCAAGGUUAACCGAAUAGGGGAGCCGAAGGGAAACCGAGUCUUAACUGGGCGUUAAGUUGCAGGGUAUAGACCCGAAACCCGGUGAUCUAGCCAUGGGCAGGUUGAAGGUUGGGUAACACUAACUGGAGGACCGAACCGACUAAUGUUGAAAAAUUAGCGGAUGACUUGUGGCUGGGGGUGAAAGGCCAAUCAAACCGGGAGAUAGCUGGUUCUCCCCGAAAGCUAUUUAGGUAGCGCCUCGUGAAUUCAUCUCCGGGGGUAGAGCACUGUUUCGGCAAGGGGGUCAUCCCGACUUACCAACCCGAUGCAAACUGCGAAUACCGGAGAAUGUUAUCACGGGAGACACACGGCGGGUGCUAACGUCCGUCGUGAAGAGGGAAACAACCCAGACCGCCAGCUAAGGUCCCAAAGUCAUGGUUAAGUGGGAAACGAUGUGGGAAGGCCCAGACAGCCAGGAUGUUGGCUUAGAAGCAGCCAUCAUUUAAAGAAAGCGUAAUAGCUCACUGGUCGAGUCGGCCUGCGCGGAAGAUGUAACGGGGCUAAACCAUGCACCGAAGCUGCGGCAGCGACGCUUAUGCGUUGUUGGGUAGGGGAGCGUUCUGUAAGCCUGUGAAGGUGUGCUGUGAGGCAUGCUGGAGGUAUCAGAAGUGCGAAUGCUGACAUAAGUAACGAUAAAGCGGGUGAAAAGCCCGCUCGCCGGAAGACCAAGGGUUCCUGUCCAACGUUAAUCGGGGCAGGGUGAGUCGACCCCUAAGGCGAGGCCGAAAGGCGUAGUCGAUGGGAAACAGGUUAAUAUUCCUGUACUUGGUGUUACUGCGAAGGGGGGACGGAGAAGGCUAUGUUGGCCGGGCGACGGUUGUCCCGGUUUAAGCGUGUAGGCUGGUUUUCCAGGCAAAUCCGGAAAAUCAAGGCUGAGGCGUGAUGACGAGGCACUACGGUGCUGAAGCAACAAAUGCCCUGCUUCCAGGAAAAGCCUCUAAGCAUCAGGUAACAUCAAAUCGUACCCCAAACCGACACAGGUGGUCAGGUAGAGAAUACCAAGGCGCUUGAGAGAACUCGGGUGAAGGAACUAGGCAAAAUGGUGCCGUAACUUCGGGAGAAGGCACGCUGAUAUGUAGGUGAAGUCCCUUGCGGAUGGAGCUGAAAUCAGUCGAAGAUACCAGCUGGCUGCAACUGUUUAUUAAAAACACAGCACUGUGCAAACACGAAAGUGGACGUAUACGGUGUGACGCCUGCCCGGUGCCGGAAGGUUAAUUGAUGGGGUCAGCGCAAGCGAAGCUCUUGAUCGAAGCCCCGGUAAACGGCGGCCGUAACUAUAACGGUCCUAAGGUAGCGAAAUUCCUUGUCGGGUAAGUUCCGACCUGCACGAAUGGCGUAAUGAUGGCCAGGCUGUCUCCACCCGAGACUCAGUGAAAUUGAACUCGCUGUGAAGAUGCAGUGUACCCGCGGCAAGACGGAAAGACCCCGUGAACCUUUACUAUAGCUUGACACUGAACAUUGAGCCUUGAUGUGUAGGAUAGGUGGGAGGCUUUGAAGUGUGGACGCCAGUCUGCAUGGAGCCGACCUUGAAAUACCACCCUUUAAUGUUUGAUGUUCUAACGUUGACCCGUGAUCCGGGUUGCGGACAGUGUCUGGUGGGUAGUUUGACUGGGGCGGUCUCCUCCUAAAGAGUAACGGAGGAGCACGAAGGUUGGCUAAUCCUGGUCGGACAUCAGGAGGUUAGUGCAAUGGCAUAAGCCAGCUUGACUGCGAGCGUGACGGCGCGAGCAGGUGCGAAAGCAGGUCAUAGUGAUCCGGUGGUUCUGAAUGGAAGGGCCAUCGCUCAACGGAUAAAAGGUACUCCGGGGAUAACAGGCUGAUACCGCCCAAGAGUUCAUAUCGACGGCGGUGUUUGG